rnacentral:rRNA from 1 species
GGGGGGGGGGGGGGGGGGGGGGUGGGGGGGGGGGGGGGGGGGGGGCGGGUGUUGGGGUGGUGGCGGGUGGGGGAGGGGUGGGUAAUGCAUCGGGACGUGCCCGAUCGGGGGGGAUAACGGGGCGAGGGCUUUGCUAAUACCGCAUACGAUCUACGGCUGACGGCGGGGGCGCUUCGGACCUCUCGCUGACGGAGCUGCCGAUGGCACAUUAGGUAGUUGGUGGGAUAAAAGCUUACCACGCCGACGAUCUGUAGCUGGUCUGAGAGGAUGAUCAGCCACACUGGGACUGAGACACGGCCCAGACUCCUACGGGAGGCAGCAGUGGGGAAUUUUGGACAAUGGGCGAAAGCCUGAUCCAGCCAUGCCGCGUGCAGGAUGAAGGCCUUCGGGUUGUAAACUGCUUUUGUACGGAACGAAAAGCCUCUUUCUAAUAAAGAGGGGUCAUGACGGUACCGUAAGAAUAAGCACCGGCUAACUACGUG